ACUUUCAACAACGGAUCUCUUGGUUCUGGCAUCGAUGAAGAACGCAGCGAAAUGCGAUAAGUAAUGUGAAUUGCAGAAUUCAGUGAAUCAUCGAAUCUUUGAACGCACAUUGCGCCCUCUGGUAUUCCGGAGGGCAUGCCUGUUCGAGCGUCAUU
rnacentral:rRNA from 9 species